UGGGGAAUUUUGGACAAUGGGGGAAACCCUGAUCCAGCAAUGCCGCGUGAGUGAAGAAGGCCUUCGGGUUGUAAAGCUCUUUUGUCAGGGAAGAAACACCGGCUCUAACACAGUCCGGGAAUGACGGUACCUGAAGAAUAAGCACCGGCUAACUACGUGCCAGCAGCCGCGGUAAUACGUAGGGUGCGAGCGUUAAUCGGAAUUACUGGGCGUAAAGCGUGCGCAGGCGGUUAUACCAGACCGGCGUGA
rnacentral:rRNA from 1 species